CCAAACACCGCCGUCACUGAUAACACUGAUAACACUGAUAAGAGUUUUAAGAGCGAUAAGACAUGUGGGACGAUGUGGGACGAAGGUCGCAGAGACUGCAGAGUCACCAGAGCAGGAAACAGCCUCACAGACAGGAAGUGAGCGGCGUUACCUCGACAGGUGACACGUGGAGGGAAAAUCUACAAAUCUACAACCUGCAACAGUUUUUACUGCAGGUCACAACAAACAGGAACAGGUAGACGUGAGACCUGAGAAACACAACACACAUGAUACGUUAAGAGAAGAGAUGUGAGCGUGUCAGAAAGGCUGAGUCAUAAAUCCCAAACCUCUCAGCAGGGAGAAGACUCGGAGUGUCUCCUGUGGAAGUGUGUGCUCACCAGUACAGAGAGCUGUGGUUGAACUGGUGUUUUACAGGCCAGCCGGGUGUGGAGCUCACAGAGAGAGAGAGAGAGAGAGAGAGAGAGAGAGAGAGAGCCCGCCAACCGAAACAGCUGCAAACGUUCACGAGAGGGGAGUCGGAGCCAGUAACCAUGGCAACUGUGGCUCUUAGCAGCAUCACUGAAGUGUCAUGAAUCAUCGAGUGGCUCGUUCAGCCAAAACAACAAACAAACACCUCAGAGGUCAGAGAGAGAAUGACAACACAUCCCGCCUUGAACCUUGAACCUUGAACCUUGAACCUUGAAGGAAUCUGCAUCACGCCAUCGUUCAGCGCUGAAGGACCAGCAGAGGACUGAUCGACAGCUCAAGAGGAAAUAAUCAAUACUGAUCGGUAUUAUCCAUGUCAGCAGAUUGUCAGUGGUCUGAGGACGGUCGGCUGGAAGGAAACUGUCGAUACGUGUUCUGCAGCUCCUUCAGUCUGUUAGAACUGAAGAAACAACCGAGUCCAGUUUCCCCCAGUUCAACCCUCCAUGGAGAUCCAUAUUAUCAGUGUGGCCAAAGCGUGUGUGUGUGUGUGUGUGUGUGUGUGUGUGUUUCAGCGUGUUUCAUCACUCAGCUUCUCUUCUUAUGCAAUCCAGCUGUAAACCGUCCAGACUCAGACGGUGGAGGAACUUCGCCACCUGCUGGACGGAACACAAACUGCAACGACAGGAAAGAAGAAGAAACUUUAGUUCUUGCAUCUAAAAACACUUUGUUAUAAAGUGUUUUAAUAUCAAAUAUAAUGAGAUAUUAUUAAUAUUAAACAUAUGGCCACGGGAAUCUCUUGAACUAUUAUUGGAUGUUUGGAUGUAAAUGUAAUGCUAUACUUAAUAAUAUAUAACCUCAUGAGAUACA